CAAAUUAGAGCUUGAAUAAAGUAUUUCAUUUACAUUGGAAAGAUAUUAAUAAUUAUAAUUAAUUU
rnacentral:tRNA from 1 species